UCUCCGACCUCGCCAAGGGUUGAUUGCGGACAUGCCUGUAGCUGAAUGGCGCCAUUGAUAGUGGCUGUGAGCCAGCCCUGCUCGGACCAAGCCACCUAGGCAACCGCCUAGGGCCUCUAAAAAUGUGGCUUGGGCCAGGGUCUCAAAACUCAUAGUAAUACCAUCAGGGAAAUCUAGCAGUCUAGUAGAAACUUAGGCCCUUUAGGAAAUUGAACGGACACAGGAAAGAAAUUGAAGGGACGAGAACGAAAGGAAAUUGAGGGGAAGGGACCAAUUCGACUAAAAGAUUUUCCACCGAUAAAAUACGUUUGAAAUUUGGAUUUGAAUCUAUAGAGACUUUAGAGAAGAACAUAGUAAAAAAUGGUGUUCAUUACUGAAGAUAUCAUCAAGCAAUUUGGAACUACGAUGAAAAAAAGUCAGCUUUCUCAUAAAUCUAGAUCUGGGAAGCACUGAUAUGUUGCUAAUUUGCAUUGCAGUUGAUCUGCAGAUGAACCAUUGAAGAAGACUUUUGAGGGCCUCAAAAUAAUUUUUCGCUUAGGGCCUCCAAAUUCUUAGAGCCGGUACUGUCUGCGGGCAAUACUGCCACCAAGUUCACAGCAGCGUUAAUCUUGUUGGAAGCAUUUGAGCAUCAUCAUCAUCAAGUUAAUUUGGCUUAUAUCUAUAAUUGUUGUCUUUUUAUUCCUUUACGGUUUUGUAGAUUUCCUUGUGUAUAUUCUUUUCGUAGUCCUUUUUCACAUUGUUUAUGGGAAGUUUACUGUGUACCUUUUCCUUGGACAUAAACUUUUCCUAUAGGAACAUGCUGAAAA